rnacentral:lncRNA from 1 species
GAGGGCAUCCCAGAAGUGGGGCAUAAUAGGGUGGGGGUCAGGGUGGGGGUGGGGAGGGCACUGUGGGGACAUCCCUGAUGGCACUUUGUGAGCAGACCCCAUGGCGCUUUGGGGACAUCUGAUGGCACUUUGGGGACAUCCCUGGCGACAUUUUUGGGGACAUCCCUGAUGACAUUUUUGGGGACAUCCCUGAUGGCAUUUUGGGGACAUCCCUGAUGGCACUUUGGGGACAUCCCUGAUGGCAUUUUGGGGACAUCCCUGACGACAUUUUGGGGUCUGGGGGCCCCUCGGACCCCUGUGACGGCACAUCAGGAGCUGCCGUGCCGAUGGCACUUUGGGGACGGCCCCGAUGGCCCUUCGUGUCCCCGUCCCCCCCCCCAUUUGUCCCCCCCUCACGUGGCACGGGGGGCUCAGGGGGCGUCGCCUCCUCCUCCUCCUCCUCCUUCUUCUGCCUCCCCACCACGCGUUGCACCAGGGCCAGCAGCCGCUGCCGCAGCGACGCGUCUUCCUCCUCCUCCUCCUCCUCACCCUGCAGCUCGAUGCCUGCGGGACAGGGGUCACGGGGUCACCACAGGGGUCACGGGGUCACCACAGGGGUCAUGGGGUUAUCACAGGGGUCAUGGGGUUAUCAUGGGGCACUGGGGGUCAUGGGGUCACCAGGGGGCACCACAGGGGUCAUUGGGUCACCACGGGGGUCACGGGGGUCACCAUNNNNNNNNNNNNNNNNNNNNNNNNNNNNNNNNNNNNNNNNNNNNNNNNNNNNCACGGGGUCACCACGGGGCACCGGGGGGUCAUGGGGUCACCACAGGGGUCACGGGGUUACCAUGGGGCACUGGGGGUCACAGGGUCACCAGGGGGCACCGGGGGUCAUGGGGUCACAAGGGGGUACCACAGGGUACCAGGGGACACAGGAGGUCAUGGGGUCACAAGGUCACCAGAGGGGUCACAGGGUCACCACAGAGCACUGGGGGUCCCCACAUCCCCCACCAGGGGUCUCCAUGCUGGGGGUCCCCAUGUCUCCAUGUCCCCAUGUCCCCACGCCGGGGGUCCCGAUGUCCCCAUGUCCCCACGCCAGGGGUCUCCAUGCCAGGGGUCCCCAUGUCCCCAUGCCGGGGGUCCCAAUGUCCCCAUGUCCCCAUGCUGGGGGUCCCGAUGUCCCCAUGUCCCCACCCCAGGGGUCUCCAUGCCAGGGGUCCUGAUGUCCCCACAUCCCCACCCCAGGGGUCUCCAUGCCAGGGGUCCCCAUGUCCCCAUGCCGGGGGUCCCAAUGUCCCCACAUCCCCAUGCUGGUGGUCCCCUUGUCCCCAUGUCCCCAUGCCGGGGUUCCCGAUGCCCCCACAUCCCCACGCCAGGGGUCUCCAUGCCGGGGGUCCCGAUGUCCCUAAGUCCCCACACCAGGGGUCCUGAUGUCCCCUUGUCCCCACAUCCCCACCCCAGGGGUCUCCAUGCCAGGGGUCCCCAUGCCGGGGGUCCUGAUGUCCCCAUGUCCCCACCCCAGGGGUCUCCA